rnacentral:rRNA from 1 species
UACGUAGGGGGCGAGCGUUGUCCGGAUUCAUUGGGCGUAAAGAGCUCGUAGGCGGUUUGUCGCGUCUGCUGUGAAAACUCGGGGCUUAACUCCGGGCCUGCAGUGGGUACGGGCAGACUAGAGUGCGGUAGGGGAGACUGGAAUUCCUGGUGUAGCGGUGAAAUGCGCAGAUAUCAGGAGGAACACCGGUGGCGAAGGCGGGUCUCUGGGCCGUAACUGACGCUGAGGAGCGAAAGCGUGGGGAGCGAACAGG